GUGGGGAAUCUUCCGCAAUGGACGAAAGUCUGACGGAGCAACGCCGCGUGAGUGAAGAAGGUUUUCGGAUCGUAAAGCUCUUUCGUUAGGGACGAACGUGCUCUUUGUGAAUAAUGAGGAGUAAUGACGGUACCUAAAUAAGAAGCCACGGCUAACUACGUGCCAGCAGCCGCGGUAAUACGUAGGUGGCAAGCGUUGUCCGGAAUUAUUGGGCGUAAAGCGCGCGCAGGCGGGAUAUCAAGUCUGUCUUAAAAGUGCGAGGCUCAACGUCGUGAGGGGACAGAAACUGGUAUUCUUGAGUGUCAGAGAGGAAAGUGGAAUUCCAAGUGUAGCGGUGAAAUGCGUAGAGAUUUGGAAGAACACCAGUGGCGAAGGCGACUUUCUGGACGAUGUCUGACGCUGAGGCGCGAAAGCUAGGGGAGCGAACGGGAUUAGAAACCCCAGUAGUCC
rnacentral:rRNA from 1 species